rnacentral:rRNA from 1 species
CCGCAUCUGUGCAUGCAGCAUAUCAAUAAGCGGAGGAAAAGAAACUAACAAGGAUUCCCCUAGUAACGGCGAGUGAAGCGGGAAGAGCUCAAAUUUGAAAUCUUAAAGGGUUUCCCUUUACGAAUUGUAGUUUAAAGAAGUGUUUUCUGUUGAGGUUUUGGUAAAAGUUCUUUGGAAUAGGACAUCAUAGAGGGUGAGAAUCCCGUAUUUGACCUUUACUUUCAACUUUGUGAUACACUUUCAAAGAGUCGGAUUGUUUGGGAAUGCAGUCCAAAAUGGGUGGUAAAUUUCAUCUAAAGCUAAAUAUUGGCGAGAGACCGAUAGCGAACAAGUACCGUGAGGGAAAGAUGAAAAGAACUUUGAAAAGAGAGUUAAACAGUACGUGAAAUUGUCAAAAGGGAAGCGUUUGACACCAGUGUUGUUUUUCUGAAAAUCAAUUAAAGAACUGUUUAUGCUAAGCUGUUUAGACUUUAUCAGCUAUCUGUUUAGUUUUGAGCUUUUCUUUAAUGCACUUUUCAGUUAACAAGUCAACAUCAAUUUCUUUUGCUGUAAAAAAGCUUGAGGAAGGUGGCUUGAGAUUCGUCUUAAGUGUUUAUAGCCUCUUGCCUAUGCAGUCGGAGAGAUUGAGGUCUGCAGCGUAGAUCCUUCGGGGCUAAAUGCAUUUGUGCUAAGUUAUAGCAUUUUAUAGACAACUUGUUGACUAUGAUUUGUCUUGUAGCUUACUCGCUUAUGUUAUUUUACCUACGCUUAGGAUGUUGACGAGACUGUCGAUCUC